rnacentral:misc_RNA from 1 species
GGAAUAAAUAGCAGGAAUUUAAUGCAUUUUUCUGAUAACAAAAUCACUACAGGAAACAUUCGGAAGGCAUAACAUCAAGCCCCACAACAUCUAAACACUAUCAAAUGUGUCAUUCCUGUUUCCUCACCCUUGUCAUGGAUUAGUACACAUUAUCUGAUUGUAUUAAUAAAAAUGGCAAUGAAACCAGAAAUCGUAGGACAAUCAUCUUAAUAAAUCUAAUCCAAUAAUGCAUAUCAAGCAAGCAACAUUAAUGUAGAAAUUGACCAUUAAACUGCAAAAU